UUACUUAAGAUUCCGUGUUUUUUUUUUUACCUGUUCCGAUCUGAGCCGAACGCAGGGGACGGUUUGUCGGACAAAUGUGGAUCCGGGCUAGGGGGGCUGUAUCUGAUACUGGCAAGCUUGAGUCUCGUAGAGGGGGGUGGAAUUCCAGGUGUAGCGGUGAAAUGCGUAGAGAUCUGGAGGAAUACCGGUGGCGAAGGCGGCCCCCUGGUUGAAGACUGACGCUCAGGUGCGAAAGCGUGGGGAGCAAACAGGAUUAGAUACCCUGGUAGUCCACGCCGUAAACGAUGUCGACUUGGAGGUUGUGCCCUUGAGGCGUGGCUUCCGGAGCUAACGCGUUAAGUCGACCGCCUGGGGAGUACGGCCGCAAGGUUAAAACUCAAAUGAAUUGACGGGGGCCCGCACAAGCGGUGGAGCAUGUGGUUUAAUUCGAUGCAACGCGAAGAACCUUACCUGGUCUUGACAUCCACAGAACUUUCCAGAGAUGGAUUGGUGCCUUCGGGAACUGUGAGACAGGUGCUGCAUGGCUGUCGUCAGCUCGUGUUGUGAAAUGUUGGGUUAAGUCCCGCAACGAGCGCAACCCUUAUCCUUUGUUGCCAGCGGUCCGGCCGGGAACUCAAAGGAGACUGCCAGUGAUAAACUGGAGGAAGGUGGGGAUGACGUCAAGUCAUCAUGGCCCUUACGACCAGGGCUACACACGUGCUACAAAUGGCGCAUACAAAGAGAAGCGACCUCGCGAGAGCAAGCGGACCUCAUAAAGUGCGUCGUAGUCCGGAUUGGGAGUCUGCAACUCGACUCCAUGAAAGUCGGAAUCGCUAGUAAUCGUGGAUCAGAAUGCCACGGUGAAUACGUUCCCGGGGCCUUUGUACACACCGCCCGUCACACCCAUGGGAGUGGGUUGCAAACAGAAGUAAGGUAGCUUAACCUUCGGGAGGGCGCUUACCCACUUUGUGAUUCAUGACUGGGGUGAAGUCGUAACAAGGUAGCCGUUA
rnacentral:rRNA from 1 species